rnacentral:rRNA from 1 species
CCUACGGGAGGCAGCAGUGGGGGAUAUUGCACAAUGGGGGAAACCCUGAUGCAGCGACGCCGCGUGGGUGAAGAAGUGCCUCGGUACGUAAAGCCCUGUCAGCAGGGAAGAAAAUGACGGUACCUGACGAAGAAGCCCCGGCUAACUACGUGCCAGCAGCCGCGGUAAUACGUAGGGGGCAAGCGUUAUCCGGAUUUACUGGGUGUAAAGGGGGCGUAGACGGCGGUGCAAGUCAGGAGUGAAAGCCCGGGGCCUAACCCCGGGACUGCUUUGGAAACUGCGUGGCUGGAGUGCAGGAGGGGCAGGCGGAAUUCCUGGUGUAGCGGUGAAAUGCGUAGAUAUCAGGAGGAACACCGGUGGCGAAGGCGGCCUGCUGGACUGUAACUGACGUUGAGGCUCGAAAGCGUGGGGAGCAAACAGGAUUAGAUACCCGAGUAGUA